rnacentral:misc_RNA from 1 species
UUGAAGAACUGCCUCUGACUAUCUGCCAUUUAAAUAAAAAGGCAAUGGGCAAGGAUGUCAAGACGGUUGGUUACUUGAUGAAGCCUUCUCGUGAAGAAGAUUUUGCCAAGAGAGGGGCAUUCCCCCUAAAACCUACACCAAACGGAUUAAUUUUUGUGCCCCUAACUUACGAGCUCCCUAUAUCACAGCAGUUACAAGAAAUUGACGGUGUUCUACAUAAAGCAACUGAUGACAUCAUUACUGUUGAAAUGAGCAGCUCUUCAGAUUCUGAAAACAAAGUUACUUUUACAGCGGGCAUGCAAGAGUUACAAAGGUACAUCGGAUGCCAUCUAGACUGUCGUUUGAUUGACCCAUUCACCAACAUAUAUCCUGUUCUUGAUCGGUUGAAAAUACAGCAGAUUCUAGGUGGUUUGGAAAAUCUUAACAGUAAAAGCUGCAGUAAAAUCAGAGGUCCCCAUUUUCUAAAGGUUGUUGAUUUUCGUGAGCCCAAGUUGGAAGACAAGCUAGCCGAUGCAAAACUGUCACUUCCGAACAUUGUAAAACCCCAAGUUGCUUGUGGAGUUGCUGAUGCUCACAGCAUGGCCAUUGUCUUCAAGGAAGACAGCUACAAAGACCUCAAUGUCCCUCUUCCAGCUAUUGUGCAGGAAUAUGUGGAUCAUUCAUCCACCAUGUUCAAGUUUUACGUUGUUGGGAAGAAGAUGUUCUUCGCAAUUAAGAAGUCUACACCUAAUGCAGAUACCUUGAUAAAGUUAGCUGAAGAAAAACAGUUGAAGCCGUUACUUUUUGAUAGUUUAAAAUCUCUACCCGUUGACACGCUAAAAAGCCAAAAUGAAGAUAAUACACAAAUUGAUCAUGAGCUAGUCACUGAUGCUGCAAAUUGGUUGAGAAGGGUACUUGACCUUACUAUUUUUGGCUUUGAUGUUGUGAUCCAGGAAAGCACCGGUGACCAUGUCAUUGUUGAUGUAAAUUACCUCCCAUCGUUUAAGGAAGUUCCUGAUGAGGUUGCAAUACCGAAAUUUUGGGAAGCCAUAAAGGAGAAGCUCACUGGAAAACAAAGCACAGAAGCAGCAAUAUUGUUGUAAUAUUCAUCUUAGUAGCAGGACUGACUAAUAAAAAGGUUAUAUACAACAAACACUGACUACCCUAUUCUCUUUUGCUAUUUGUGUUAUUA